rnacentral:snRNA from 1 species
GUGCUUGUUUCGGCAGCAUGUUUGCUAAAAUUGGAAUAAUACUGAGAAGAUUAGCAUGGCCAUUGCACAGGGCUAACACACAAAUUUGUUAAUUAAAAAAAAAAUGU